GACGUAGGUGGCGAACGUUAUCCGGAAUCAUUGGGCGUAAAGGGUGCGUAGAUGGCUUAAUAAGUUAUUAGUGGGAAAUCGAGGCUCAACCUCGUGGAAGCUAGUAAUACUGUUUUGCUUGAGUGCAGAAGAGGUUAACGGAACUCCAUGUGGAGCGGUAAAAUGCGUUGAUAUAUGGAAGAACACCGAUAAGGCGAAGGCAGUUAACUAUUCUGCUACUGACAUUGAGGCAUGAAAGCGUGGGGAGCAAAACGG
rnacentral:rRNA from 1 species